GAUGAACGCUGGCGGCGUGCUUAACACAUGCAAGUCGAACGGAAAGGCCCAAGCUUGCUUGGGUACUCGAGUGGCGAACGGGUGAGUAACACGUGGGUGAUCUGCCCUGCACUUCGGGAUAAGCCUGGGAAACUGGGUCUAAUACUGGAUAGGACCACUUCCUGGAUGUUGUGGUGGAAAGUUUUUUCGGUGUGGGAUGAGCUCGCGGCCUAUCAGCUUGUUUGUGGGGUAAUGGCCUACCAAGGCGUCGACGGGUAGCCGGCCUGGGAGGGUGUACGGCCACAUUGGGGCUGGGAUACGGCCCAGGCUCCUACGGGAGGCAGCAGUGGGGAAUAUUGCACAAUGGGCGCAAGGCUGAUGCAGCGACGCCGCGUGGGGGAUGACGGGCUUCGGGUUGUAAACUCCUUUCGCUAGGGACGAAGCGUUUUGUGACGGUACCUGGAGAAGAAGCACCGGCUAACUACGUG
rnacentral:rRNA from 1 species